rnacentral:sRNA from 1 species
AAACUCUGGCAUGGAGAUACGCAGGAAAGCCUGUAGAGUACAACAGUAACAUCCUACGGAGAUUUGCAUGCAGAUUGCUCAGUUGUUCAAAUAUAGGGAGGGGCAUCUGCUAUUCUCGACGUAUUUCGGGGAGGCUGGAAGGCCCGAGAUUCGGUAGCGAAUUUUUGCUUUUUCUUGUUGAUCAGGCUCUUGUUGUUGCAAAUGAAGCUUCUUCCGGGAGUAGAAACCCGGCUAAAACCCGACACUAACACUCAGACCCGAGCACUUGCAAUCCUCCAGCCUGUCUGAGAUCGGUUGACCCUGUUCGUCGCCUAGCUUCGCUGGUUCGUUUCGCUUCGAGAUAGGAAAGUGGAAAAGCAUUGUCAGAUAUUAUGGCCAUUUUCAAAGCGGUAAACAAAUUGUAACCCGAAGCAGUACGGAAAAUGAAGUCUGCGCAAUCCCUUACUCCUUUUCUAUCAUUCCAGAAAGGCCCUGGUAUGUCUGAUUUGCAAUUGGAAGAAUUGGCGACAGAGGACGGUUCCCAACAAAGAGAAAGAUGU